GACUCUCAACAACGGAUAUCUUGGCUCCCGCAACAAUGAAGAACGCAGCGAAAUGCGAUAUCUAGUGUGAAUUGCAGAAUUCCGCGAAUUAGAGUAUUUGAAUUAUCUACAAAUUGGUUUGUCCUUAGUUUGAGAUAGUGACA
rnacentral:rRNA from 1 species